AAGGGGCAGUAAUGUAUGGGUACCUACCCCGGGGUUGAGGAUAGCCGUUCUAACGGACGGGUAAUACUCGACGAAGUCGCAAGACCAAAGCUCCGGCGCCCCGGGAGGGGCCCAUAUCAGAUUAGCUAGUUGGGGGGGUAACGGCCCACCAAGGCGAGGAUCUGUAGCGGGUGUGAGAGCACGACCCGCGCCACUGGCACUGAGACACUGGCCAGACACCUACGGGUGGCUGCAGUCGAGGAUCUUCGUCAAUGGGCGAAAGCCUGAACGAGCGAUGCCGCGUGUGCGAUGAAGGCCUUCGGGUUGUAAAGCACAAAAGAGAUGAGAAAGGGCAACUUGAUCGAAUCUCAGUAAGCUCGGGCUAAGUUCGUGCCAGCAGCCGCGGUAAGACGAACCGAGCGAACGUUGUUCGGAAUCACCGGGCUUAAAGGGCGCGUAGGCGGGUGGCUAAGUCUGUGGUGAAAUCCUCCAGCUCAACUGGAGAACUGCCAUGGAUACUGGUCGUCUCGAGGAAGGUAGGGGUACGUGGAACUAUUGGUGGAGCGGUGAAAUGCGUUGA
rnacentral:rRNA from 1 species